GGAAGUCGGCAAAAUAGAUCCUUAACUUCGGGAAAAGGAUUGGCUCAUAGGACUGGGCUCGUCGGGCCUUUGCUUGCAGCUGUUGGACCGGUCUAGGACUACUUUAGGGGGUAACCCUUGAGGCGGACUUGGACUGGACUAGCGGUGAAAGGCUUUGGCUGUUGCCCUUCGGGGUAUCCGGCGGGCGCUUAACAGUCAACUAUGAACUGGUACGGACAAGGGGAAUCUGACUGUCUAAUUAAAACAUAGCAUUGCGAUGGCCAGAAAGUGGUGUUGACGCAAUGUGAUUUCUGCCCAGUGCUC
rnacentral:rRNA from 1 species